GGCAGCUUGGAGCAGACAGGAGGAGGCAUCAGUUCUGGCCCGGGUGUGAAGGGAGGAAUCAAGUGGAAGACGUGUAUGAGAGAGUAGAAGACAAGACGAGCCAGGCCAGGGAAGAGAGGCCACGGAGGGCAGCCACACAAAAUGGUACCCUUUGAUGAAUGCUCAGAAGUACCUUGGAUGGAUUCUCUUGCCCAUGCAUUCUGCCUCCAGGGAAGCCCACCCUUAUCUACUGCUGUGGUUGACCAUGACUUGGGCCAGCAUUGCUGUGUGGGAUUCCGGGCACCAGAACAGCAAGCAGGCCUGGAGGCCGCCAGCAUUAAGGAAUCGAGGAAGAGAGUUCCAGAUGGAAGCAGCAGAGUGUGAAGAUGCUUGACUGCAGGCCAGCCCCGGGGCGGGGGGAGAGGUGCGGGGGCUUGGAAUGCCCUAAAAGGUUCCAGACCGGUGGAGAAAGGCUGCUAGGAAAGGCUGAGAGCAUCGGCACGCAGACCCAAAGGAACGUCUGGUAUUCAGCCCCUAUGUUAGGAAGAUCUGAGGCAUUACAGACUCCCCAGGAUUGAAAUCACCCUCACCCUCAGAUUCUCAGGUCCACACUCCAGCCUCCUGCCAAGAUCACCAAAGCAGUGUUUCACGAACCGAGAAGGAAAUCCGCCAUCACCCUUGUAGGUCAUUCAUUCAAGACCCCCUAACACUUCCAUUGCCUUCUAUGCAAUGUCAAGAAGAGUUAAGAAAAAAAAAAAUCAAACUUCAGAUUAUUCUGAACUAGAAGGAAACAGAUAAAUGCAGGGGAAGUAAGGCACGUUGAGGAAAUGAAUGAAAGCUGGAGAACAGAAGGAACAGCCAGGAGUCGGAGAGGGCAUGACAUACAGACCAUACUCUCGAAAGGGCGUCUCGGUGUUCUUUCACGGAGAAGACAACCACACUAGCCUCUGUUUCCUCAUCCAUAAUAUGGGGAAACCACUCUCUACCUUGCGUUAUCGAUGUCACAAAGAGUAAAGCCCGUUUUAGAUGCUAAAGACCUUGACAUGUCGAAAGGACGCUUCGCCCCCAGAUCCUCUUCCAGAAGCCCUGGAUGAGUAAGUGGGGCCAGCGCCAUCUGUAACGAGCUCCCAGACUGUGCUCAUCCUCGCAGCUGCCAACACUCUUCCUGCUUGCAGAUGAUAACUCACUUCCUUCACCAAAUGAACCAUGACCGGACCACUCCCAGAACCUGGUGAUCCCAAGCCCUCCAAGACCAUUUCCCACCAGUCUCCAUCAGAGCUCCCACAUGGCAGACGCAGACCCCUCCUGGAGGCAGGGACCAGCCACGGGCCCACAUGGAGGUGAAGAAAGAACGCUGAGGACCGGCUUAGAGCCAGAAAAGCCUGAAACAUCGUCUUAACUCCUGUGUUUGAACCGCAGCCUAGGGAACUCUGGAGUCUCGCUGAGGGGUUUCGAAGGGGAACAGGGGUAGCUCAGGAUUAGUUUCCAGUCCCCUACCCCUGCCUCAACCACAGAAGUUAUGUUACUGCUCUUAUAUACUGGGGUUCCAUAUAUGUUUUUAUUUACAGAAUGGGUCGUGUCCUUCUAAAUUAUGUUUAUAAACCAUCUGCUUGCAAAAUA